rnacentral:rRNA from 1 species
AUUGAACGCUGGCGGCAUGCCUUACACAUGCAAGUCGAACGGUAACGGGCCUUCGGGUGCCGACGAGUGGCGAACGGGUGAGUAAUACAUCGGAACGUGCCCGAUCGUGGGGGAUAACGAGGCGAAAGCUUUGCUAAUACCGCAUACGAUCUACGGAUGAAAGCAGGGGACCGCAAGGCCUUGCGCGGACGGAGCGGCCGAUGGCAGAUUAGGUAGUUGGUGGGAUAAAAGCUUACCAAGCCGACGAUCUGUAGCUGGUCUGAGAGGAUGAUCAGCCACACUGGGACUGAGACACGGCCCAGACUCCUACGGGAGGCAGCAGUGGGGAAUUUUGGACAAUGGGCGCAAGCCUGAUCCAGCCAUGCCGCGUGCAGGAUGAAGGCCUUCGGGUUGUAAACUGCUUUUGUACGGAACGAAAAGCCUUCUUUUAAUACAGGAGGGUCAUGACGGUACCGUAAGAAUAAGCACCGGCUAACUACGUA